AUACGGAGGAUCUGAGCGUUAUCCGGAUUUAUUGGGUUUAAAGGGAGCGUAGAUGGAUGUUUAAGUCAGUUGUGAAAGUUUGCGGCUCAACCGUAAAAUUGCAGUUGAUACUGGAUAUCUUGAGUGCAGUUGAGGCAGGCGGAAUUCGUGGUGUAGCGGUGAAAUGCUUAGAUAUCACGAAGAAAUCCGAUUGCGAAGGCAGCCUGCUAAGCUGCGACUGACAUUGAGGCUCGAAAGUGUGGGUAUCAAACAGGAUUAGAUACCCUUGUAGUCCACACGGUAAACGAUGAAUACUCGCUGUUUGCGAUAUACGGCAAGCGGCCAAGCGAAAGCGUUAAUUAUUCCGCCUGGGGAGUACGGCGGCAACGGUGAAACUUAAAGGAAUUGACGGGG
rnacentral:rRNA from 1 species